rnacentral:rRNA from 1 species
AACGAACGCUGGCGGCAUGCCUAACACAUGCAAGUCGAACGAGACCUUCGGGUCUAGUGGCGUACGGGUGCGUAACGCGUGGGAACCUGCCCUUAGGUUCGGAAUAACUCCCCGAAAGGGGUGCUAAUACCGGAUAAUGUCUUCGGACCAAAGAUUUAUCGCCUUUGGAUGGGCCCGCGUUGGAUUAGCUAGUUGGUAGGGUAAAAGCCUACCAAGGCGACGAUCCAUAGCUGGUCUGAGAGGAUGAUCAGCCACACUGGGACUGAGACACGGCCCAGACUCCUAGGGGGGGAAGAGGUGGGGAAAAUGGGACAAUGGGCGAAAGCCGGAUCCAGCAAUGCCGGGUGGGGGAUGAAGGCCUUAGGGUUGUAAAGCUCUUUUACCCGGGAGGAUAAUGACAGUACGGGGAGAAUAAGCCCCGGCAACCUCCGU